GACGAACGCUGGCGGCGUGCUUAACACAUGCAAGUCGAACGGAAAGGCCCUGCUUGCAGGGUACUCGAGUGGCGAACGGGUGAUUAACACGUGGGUGAUCUGCCCUGCACUUCGGGAUAAGCCUGGGAAACUGGGUCUAAUACCGGAUAGGAGCCAUUUUUAGUGUGAUGGUUGGAAAGUUUUUUCGGUGUAGGAUGAGCUCGCGGCCUAUCAGCUUGUUGGUGGGGUAAUGGCCUACCAAGGCGGCGACGGGUAGCCGGCCUGGGAGGGUGGACGGCCACAUUGGGACUGAGAUACGGCCCAGACUCCUACGGGAGGCAGCAGUGGGGAAUAAUGCACAAUGGGCGCAAGCCUGAUGCAGCGACGCCGCGUGGGGGAUGACGGCCUUCGGGUUGUAAACUCCUUUCGCUAGGGACGAAGCUUUUUGUGACGGUACCUAGAUAAGAAGCACCGGCUAACUACGUG
rnacentral:rRNA from 1 species